rnacentral:rRNA from 1 species
GACGAACGCUGGCGGCGUGCUUAACACAUGCAAGUCGAACGGAAAGGCCCUGCUUUUGUGGGGUGCUCGAGUGGCGAACGGGGGAGUAACACGUGAGUAACCUGCCCUUGACUUUGGGAUAACUUCAGGAAACUGGGGCUAAUACCGGAUAGGAGCUCCUGCGGCAUGGUGGGGGUUGGAAAGUUUCGGCGGUUGGGGAUGGACUCGCGGCUUAUCAGCUUGAUGGUGGGGUAGUGGCUUACCAAGGCUUUGACGGGUAGCCGGCCUGAGAGGGUGACCGGCCACAUUGCGCCUGAGAUACGGCCCAGACUCCUACGGGAGGCAGCAGUGGGGAAUAUUGCACAAUGGGCGGAAGCCUGAUGCGGCAACGCCGCGUGCGGGAAGACGGCCUUCGGGUUGUGAACCGCUUUCGCCUGUGACGAAGCGUGAGUGACGGUAAUGGGUAAAGAAGCACCGGCUAACUACGUG